UGAAGGGUAAGAGAGGAGAGGAAGGACCAAGAGGAAAAGAAAGACCCUCUGGUGAGAUGGGGAUGACUGGACCACAGGGAUACAGAGGACCUCCAGGUAUCCAGGGUAAAAUAGGACCAUGGGGGGACGUUGGACCUCGAGGUCUUCCAGGUGAUCCGGGGCCACGGGGACCAGUGGGCCCUCCUGGAGUUCCAGGUUACCCUGGUAAAGACGGAACUCAAGGACCAAAUGGAUCAGCUGGUGUUAAAGGAGAGAAGGUGCGUCUGUUCAGGAGCUGAAGGUCGUAGGCUGAUUGAGCCACACCUGGGAUCAAGUGGCUCAGACUGCAUGAAACCUUCCUCACAUCCAGCAUUGGUCUGUCUCUGACAGGAGCUGCUUCCUUCCGGAGCUCCAGCAGCCUGGUUCUGUUUGGUUGGAGGUCUUUAGUGUGUUGACUUGGUUUGUCGUACAAUAAAAUC